rnacentral:rRNA from 1 species
CACCGCCGUCACAUCAUGAAAGCCGUUUGUACCGAAGUCGUCGUGUUAACCCGCAAGGGAGACAGAUGCCGAAGGUAUGGAUGGUGAUUGGGAGUG